rnacentral:sRNA from 1 species
GUAGAGCCCGUUCUGUCCGGUCGUGGUUCUGUCCAGACCGUGAUCUGGGAGUCCUAGCUUGCUAAUGGAACACCUGAGAUGUUCCUUAUGGCUCAAGGCUUGAAUUGAAGGUGGGAACCACAUGAAGGCUCGGUGGGGAGGCCGUGCCUGAGGUUAGGUGUCUGGCAUAAGUGCCGCCAGCUGGGUGUGAUUUAGGUGAAGGACGUCUGUAAAGGAGCGUGUCACAAUCUCUGUUCCUUCUUCACAUCUAGUGGUAUCCUGAGGUGCGGCACCACUGUCCCAACACUCCCAUCAUCCUAGUGGGAACUAAACUUGAUCUUAGGGAUGAUAAAGACACGAUCGAGAAACUGAAGGAGAAGAAGCUGACUCCCAUCACCUAUCCGCAGGGUCUAGCCAUGGCUAAGGAGAUUGGUGCUGUAAAAUACCUGGAGUGCUCAGCGCUCACACAGCGAGGCCUCAAGACAGUGUUUGACGAAGCGAUCCGAGCAGUCCUCUGCCCACCUCCCGUGAAGAAGAGGAAGAGAAAAUGCCUGCUGUUGUAAAUGUCUGAGCCCCUCGUUCUUGGUCCUGUCCCUUGGAACCUUUGUACGCUUUGCUCAAAAAAAAAAAAAA